UAUGGCCAUAUCACGUUGAAACAAUGGUUCUCUUAUGAUCACUGAAGUUAAGCAAUGUUGAGCCUAGUCUGUACCUAGAUGGGUGACUGCUUAGUAAUUCCAAGUGCUAUA